CCUACGGGGGACAGCAGUGAGGAAUAUUGGUCAAUGGACGAGAGUCUGAACCAGCCAAGUAGCGUGAAGGAUGACUGCCCUAUGGGUUGUAAACUUCUUUUAUAUGGGAAUAAAAUGUUCCACGUGUGGGAUUUUGUAUGUACCAUAUGAAUAAGGAUCGGCUAACUCCGGGCCAGCAGCCGCGGUAAUACGGAGGAUCCGAGCGUUAUCCGGAUUUAUUGGGUUUAAAGGGAGCGUAGGUGGAUUGUUAAGUCAGUUGUGAAAGUUUGCGGCUCAACCGUAAAAUUGCAGUUGAAACUGGCAGUCUUGAGUACAGUAGAGGUGGGCGGAAUUCGUGGUGUAGCGGUGAAAUGCUUAGAUAUCACGAAGAACUCCGAUUGCGAAGGCAGUUCACUGGACUGCAACUGACACUGAGGCUCGAAAGUGUGGGUAUCAAACAGGAUUAGAUACCCGUGUAGUC
rnacentral:rRNA from 1 species